AUGGAAAUAACACAAGUCCACACCUUAAACUUCACCGGAGUCAUCUCACAGUCAAAGAGAAUCAUCUUCUCCAGUAACAUGAUGAUCCAUGGAGGAAGCCAAUAUCUUCAAAUGUAACAUCCAAGGCAAAUCUUACAUCUUGUGGAUAAAACAAGAGCAUUGGCAUCACGAGAUGUUUACGGACCCUUCCACAUUACGCUAUCUCAAAGACAUCAGACGGGCUACCUCAUUGUCUCCUAUCUUCUCAAAGAAUGGUUAGUGCCCUUCAUGGACAGUUGCCUCUCUCUCCUCGCCGUGUCAGCAACGUCAGUCACUCUCUUUUCCCUCUAAAUUUCAUGCCCGUUGUCCGUCUACCCAAAAACCUAUACCUGGGUUACAAACGGCCUAAGGGAUGCGCAAACUAAGAUGUAGGGCUGGAAACGAACCAAACGCUCAUGAACCGUUCGGCGAGAAGUUCGUUUGUAUUUGUUUGUUUAUUAAACAAAUGAACAGGGGCAAGAAAUUUCGUUCGUUUAGUUAAGUGAACGAACAUGAACAAAAGGCAUGCUCGUUCAUUUAUGUUCAUGAACGUUCG
rnacentral:lncRNA from 1 species